rnacentral:rRNA from 1 species
GGUUAAGCGACUAAGCGUACACGGUGGAUGCCCUGGCAGUCAGAGGCGAUGAAGGACGUGCUAAUCUGCGAUAAGCGUCGGUAAGGUGAUAUGAACCGUUAUAACCGGCGAUUUCCGAAUGGGGAAACCCAGUGUGAUUCGUCACACUAUCAUUAACUGAAUCCAUAGGUUAAUGAGGCGAACCGGGGGAACUGAAACAUCUAAGUACCCCGAGGAAAAGAAAUCAACCGAGAUUCCCCCAGUAGCGGCGAGCGAACGGGGAGCAGCCCAGAGCCUGAAUCAGUGUGUGUAUUAGUGGAAGCGUCUGGAAAGGCGCGCGAUACAGGGUGACAGCCCCGUACACAAAAAUGCACAUAUUGUGAGCUCGAUGAGUAGGGCGGGACACGUGGUAUCCUGUCUGAAUAUGGGGGGACCAUCCUCCAAGGCUAAAUACUCCUGACUGACCGAUAGUGAACCAGUACCGUGAGGGAAAGGCGAAAAGAACCCCGGCGAGGGGAGUGAAAAAGAACCUGAAACCGUGUACGUACAAGCAGUGGGAGCACGCUUAGGCGUGUGACUGCGUACCUUUUGUAUAAUGGGUCAGCGACUUAUAUUCUGUAGCAAGGUUAACCGAAUAGGGGAGCCGAAGGGAAACCGAGUCUUAACUGGGCGUUAAGUUGCAGGGUAUAGACCCGAAACCCGGUGAUCUAGCCAUGGGCAGGUUGAAGGUUGGGUAACACUAACUGGAGGACCGAACCGACUAAUGUUGAAAAAUUAGCGGAUGACUUGUGGCUGGGGGUGAAAGGCCAAUCAAACCGGGAGAUAGCUGGUUCUCCCCGAAAGCUAUUUAGGUAGCGCCUCGUGAAUUCAUCUCCGGGGGUAGAGCACUGUUUCGGCAAGGGGGUCAUCCCGACUUACCAACCCGAUGCAAACUGCGAAUACCGGAGAAUGUUAUCACGGGAGACACACGGCGGGUGCUAACGUCCGUCGUGAAGAGGGAAACAACCCAGACCGCCAGCUAAGGUCCCAAAGUCAUGGUUAAGUGGGAAACGAUGUGGGAAGGCCCAGACAGCCAGGAUGUUGGCUUAGAAGCAGCCAUCAUUUAAAGAAAGCGUAAUAGCUCACUGGUCGAGUCGGCCUGCGCGGAAGAUGUAACGGGGCUAAACCAUGCACCGAAGCUGCGGCAGCGACGCUGAUGCGUUGUUGGGUAGGGGAGCGUUCUGUAAGCCUGCGAAGGUGUGCUGUGAGGCAUGCUGGAGGUAUAAGAAGUGCGAAUGCUGACAUAAGUAACGAUAAAGCGGGUGAAAAGCCCGCUCGCCGGAAGACCAAGGGUUCCUGUCCAACGUUAAUCGGGGCAGGGUGAGUCGACCCCUAAGGCGAGGCCGAAAGGCGUAGUCGAUGGGAAACAGGUUAAUAUUCCUGUACUUGGUGUUACUGCGAAGGGGGGACGGAGAAGGCUAUGUUGGCCGGGCGACGGUUGUCCCGGUUUAAGCGUGUAGGCUGGUUUUCCAGGCAAAUCCGGAAAAUCAAGGCUGAGGCGUGAUGACGAGGCACUACGGUGCUGAAGCAACAAAUGCCCUGCUUCCAGGAAAAGCCUCUAAGCAUCAGGUAACAUCAAAUCGUACCCCAAACCGACACAGGUGGUCAGGUAGAGAAUACCAAGGCGCUUGAGAGAACUCGGGUGAAGGAACUAGGCAAAAUGGUGCCGUAACUUCGGGAGAAGGCACGCUGAUAUGUAGGUGAGGUCCCUCGCGGAUGGAGCUGAAAUCAGUCGAAGAUACCAGCUGGCUGCAACUGUUUAUUAAAAACACAGCACUGUGCAAACACGAAAGUGGACGUAUACGGUGUGACGCCUGCCCGGUGCCGGAAGGUUAAUUGAUGGGGUUAGCGCAAGCGAAGCUCUUGAUCGAAGCCCCGGUAAACGGCGGCCGUAACUAUAACGGUCCUAAGGUAGCGAAAUUCCUUGUCGGGUAAGUUCCGACCUGCACGAAUGGCGUAAUGAUGGCCAGGCUGUCUCCACCCGAGACUCAGUGAAAUUGAACUCGCUGUGAAGAUGCAGUGUACCCGCGGCAAGACGGAAAGACCCCGUGAACCUUUACUAUAGCUUGACACUGAACAUUGAGCCUUGAUGUGUAGGAUAGGUGGGAGGCUUGGAAGUGUGGACGCCAGUCUGCAUGGAGCCGACCUUGAAAUACCACCCUUUAAUGUUUGAUGUUCUAACGUUGACCCGUAAUCCGGGUUGCGGACAGUGUCUGGUGGGUAGUUUGACUGGGGCGGUCUCCUCCUAAAGAGUAACGGAGGAGCACGAAGGUUGGCUAAUCCUGGUCGGACAUCAGGAGGUUAGUGCAAUGGCAUAAGCCAGCUUGACUGCGAGCGUGACGGCGCGAGCAGGUGCGAAAGCAGGUCAUAGUGAUCCGGUGGUUCUGAAUGGAAGGGCCAUCGCUCAACGGAUAAAAGGUACUCCGGGGAUAACAGGCUGAUACCGCCCAAGAGUUCAUAUCGACGGCGGUGUUUGGCACCUCGAUGUCGGCUCAUCACAUCCUGGGGCUGAAGUAGGUCCCAAGGGUAUGGCUGUUCGCCAUUUAAAGUGGUACGCGAGCUGGGUUUAGAACGUCGUGAGACAGUUCGGUCCCUAUCUGCCGUGGGCGCUGGAGAACUGAGGGGGGCUGCUCCUAGUACGAGAGGACCGGAGUGGACGCAUCACUGGUGUUCGGGUUGUCAUGCCAAUGGCACUGCCCGGUAGCUAAAUGCGGAAGAGAUAAGUGCUGAAAGCAUCUAAGCACGAAACUUGCCCCGAGAUGAGUUCUCCCUGACCCUUUAAGGGUCCUGAAGGAACGUUGAAGACGACGACGUUGAUAGGCCGGGUGUGUAAGCGCAGCGAUGCGUUGAGCUAACCGGUACUAAUGAACCGUGAGGCUUAACCUU